rnacentral:rRNA from 1 species
UACGUAGGUGGCGAGCGUUAUCCGGAAUUACUGGGCGUAAAGCGCACGCAGGCGGUCUUGUAAGUUUGACGUGAAAGCUCCCGGCUUAACUGGGAGAGGUCGUUGAAGACUGCAAGACUUGAGGCAAUGAGGGGGGUGUAGAAUUCCUGGUGUAGUGGUGGAAUGCGUAGAUAUCAGGAGGAAUACCAGUGGCGAAAGCGGCACCCUAGCGUUAGCCUGACGCUCAUGUGCGAAAGCGUGGGGAGCAAACGGGAUUAGAAACCCCCGUAGUCC